AUUGAACGCUGGCGGCAGGCCUAACACAUGCAAGUCGAGCGGCGCGGCGGCCGGGUGAGUAAUGCCUAGGUAUCUGCCUGGUAGUGGGGGAUCACGUCAGGAAACGGGCAAUCAUACCCCAUCCUCUCAGAUGAGUCUAGGUCGGAUUAGCUAGUUGGUGGGGUAAUGGCCUACCAAGGCGACGAUCCGUACCUGGUCUGAGAGGAUGAUCAUUCACACUGGAACUGAGACACGGUCCAGACUCCUACGGGAGGCAGCAGUGGGGAAUAUUGGACAAUGGGCGAAAGCCUGAUCCAGCCAUGCCGCGUGUGUGAAGAAGGUCUUCGGAUUGUAAAGCACUUUAAGUUGGGAGGCGUUACCAACAGAAUAAGCACCGGCUAACUUCGUGCCAGCAGCCGCGGUAAUUC
rnacentral:rRNA from 1 species